UACGUAGGGUGCAAGCGUUGUCCGGAAUUAUUGGGCGUAAAGAGCUCGUAGGUGGCCUGUCGCGUCGGCUGUGAAAACUCGGGGCUCAACUCCGAGCUUGCAGUCGAUACGGGCAGGCUAGAGUUCGGCAGGGGAGACUGGAAUUCCUGGUGUAGCGGUGAAAUGCGCAGAUAUCAGGAGGAACACCGGUGGCGAAGGCGGGUCUCUGGGCCGAUACUGACGCUGAGACGCGAAAGCGUGGGGAGCGAACGGG
rnacentral:rRNA from 1 species